rnacentral:lncRNA from 1 species
CAUCAAUAGUGCAUUUGAAAGGCUUGCCUCUAAUGAGAGAUGGUAGAUUUGUGCCAUGGUAAGCCUCUCUCCUGGUGAGAGGACAAGGAAUUAAAUAUUUUUAUUAGGAAAUAAGAAAAAUAGGCAUGGUUUGGUUGGAAAAGCUAGCACGGAGUGCCGGAGAGACUGGACAGAAUAUGGCAGCAUGAAGAUGGAGAAAGAAGAUGGCAACGUGAAG